rnacentral:rRNA from 1 species
AGAGUUUGAUCAUGGCUCAGAAUCAACGCUGGCGGCGUGCCUAACACAUGCAAGUCGAACGCGAAAGUGGAGCAAUCCAUGAGUAGAGUGGCAAACGGGUGAGUAACACGUGGGUGACCUGCCUUCGAGCGGGGGAUAACGUCCCGAAAGGGACGCUAAUACCGCAUAACAUCCUGCCUUUCAAGAGGUGGAGAUCAAAGCUGGCGCAAGCUAGCACUCGAAGAGGGGCCCGCGUCCGAUUAGCUAGUUGGUGAGGUAACGGCUCACCAAGGCAACGAUCGGUAGCCGGCCUGAGAGGGCGGACGGCCACACUGGGACUGAGACACGGCCCAGACUCCUACGGGAGGCAGCAGUGGGGAAUUGUUCGCAAUGGGCGCAAGCCUGACGACGCAACGCCGCGUGGAGGAUGAAGAUCUUCGGGUCGUAAACUCCUUUCGAUCGAGACGAACGGCCUCCGGGUGAACAAUCCGGAGGAGUGACGGUACCGAGAGAAGAAGCCCCGGCUAACUCCGUGCCAGCAGCCGCGGUAAUACGGGGGGGGCAAGCGUUGUUCGGAAUUACUGGGCGUAAAGGGCUUGUAGGUGGCCAACUAAGUCAGACGUGAAAUCCCUCGGCUUAACCGGGGAACUGCGUCUGAUACUGGAUGGCUCGAGUUUGGGAGAGGGAUGCGGAAUUCCAGGUGUAGCGGUGAAAUGCGUAGAUAUCUGGAGGAACACCGGUGGCGAAGGCGGCAUCCUGGACCAACACUGACACUGAGAAGCGAAAGCCAGGGGAGCAAACGGGAUUAGAUACCCUAGUAGUCC